UUGGAGGGCAAGUCUGGUGCCAGCAGCCGCGGUAAUUCCAGCUCCAAUAGCGUAUAUUAAAGUUGUUGCAGUUAAAAAGCUCGUAGUUGAAUUUCGGGGUUAGUAGGUUGGUCAUGCCUCUGGUAUGUACUGGCCUUACUGAUUCCUCCUUCCUGAUGAACCGUAAUGCCAUUAAUUUGGUGUUGCGGGGAAUUUGGACUGUUACUUUGAAAAAAUUAGAGUGUUUAAAGCAAGCUAACGCUUGAAUACAUUAGCAUGGAAUAAUGAAAUAGGACGUUCGAUCCUAUUUUGUUGGUUUCUAGGAUUGACGUAAUGAUUAAUAGGGAUAGUUGGGGGCAUUAGUAUUCAAUUGUCAGAGGUGAAAUUCUUGGAUUUAUUGAAGACUAACUACUGCGAAAGCAUUUGCCAAGGAUGUUUUCAUUAAUCAAGAACGAAAGUUAGGGGAUCGAAGACGAUCAGAUACCGUCGUAGUCUUAACCAUAAACUAUGCCGACUAGGGAUCGGAUGAUGUUAAUUUUUUAAUGACUCAUUCGGCGCCUUACGGGAAACA
rnacentral:rRNA from 1 species